AUUGAACGCUGGCGGCAUGCCUUACACAUGCAAGUCGAACGGCAGCACGGGAGCAAUCCUGGUGGCGAGUGGCGAACGGGUGAGUAAUAUAUCGGAACGUGCCCAGUCGUGGGGGAUAACGCAGCGAAAGCUGUGCUAAUACCGCAUACGAUCUAUGGAUGAAAGCGGGGGAUCGCAAGACCUCGCGCGAUUGGAGCGGCCGAUAUCAGAUUAGGUAGUUGGUGGGGUAAAGGCUCACCAAGGCGACGAUCCGUAGCGGGUCUGAGAGGAUGAUCCGCCACACUGGGACUGAGACACGGCCCAGACUCCUACGGGAGGCAGCAGUGGGGAAUUUUGGACAAUGGGCGCAAGCCUGAUCCAGCCAUGCCGCGUGAGUGAAGAAGG
rnacentral:rRNA from 1 species